rnacentral:rRNA from 1 species
CUACGGGCGGCUCCAGUGGGGAAUAUUGCACAAUGGGCGCAAGCCUGAUGCAGCGACGCCGCGUGAGGGAUGACGGCCUUCGGGUUGUAAACCUCUUUCAGUAGGGAAGAAGCGAAAGUGACGGUACCUGCAGAAGAAGCACCGGCUAACUACGUGCCAGCAGCCGCGGUAAUACGUAGGGUGCGAGCGUUAUCCGGAAUUAUUGGGCGUAAAGAGCUCGUAGGCGGUUUGUCGCGUCUGUCGUGAAAGUCCGGGGCUUAACCCCGGAUCUGCGGUGGGUACGGGCAGACUAGAGUGCAGUAGGGGAGACUGGAAUUCCUGGUGUAGCGGUGGAAUGCGCAGAUAUCAGGAGGAACACCGAUGGCGAAGGCAGGUCUCUGGGCUGUAACUGACGCUGAGGAGCGAAAGCAUGGGGAGCGAACAGGAUUAGAUACCCCCGUAGUC